rnacentral:rRNA from 1 species
CAGUCGCCGCGGUAAUACAGAGGGUGCGAGCGUUAAUCGGAUUUACUGGGCGUAAAGCGUGCGUAGGCGGCUUCUUAAGUCGGAUGUGAAAUCCAUGAGCUUAACUUAGGAAUUGCAUUCGAUACUGGGAAGCUAGAGUAUGGGAGAGGAUGGUAGAAUUCCAGGUGUAGCGGUGAAAUGCGUAGAGAUCUGGAGGAAUACCGAUGGCGAAGGCAGCCAUCUGGCCUAAUACUGACGCUGAGGUACGAAAGCAUGGGGAGCAAACAGGAUUAGAUACCCCAGUAGUCCCUGUCUCUUAUAC